rnacentral:misc_RNA from 1 species
GCGUUUAUAUAACAUGAAAUAUAUAUACGC